CCUACGGGGGACAGCAGUGAGGAAUAUUGGUCAAUGGGCGCGAGCCUGAACCAGCCAAGUCGCGUGAGGGAGGACGGUCCUACGGGUUGUAAACCUCUUUUGCCGGGGAGCAACGGGCGCCACGUGUCGCGUCACUGAGAGUACCCGGAGAAAAAGCAUCGGCUAACUCCGUGCCAGCAGCCGCGGUAAUACGGGGGAUGCGAGCGUUAUCCGGAUUUAUUGGGUUUAAGGGGUGCGAAGGCGGAUCGUUAAGUCAGUGGUCAAAUUGAGGGGCUCAACCCCUUCCCGCCAUUGAAACUGGCGUUCUUGAGUGGAAGAGAAGUAUGCGGAAUGCGUGGUGUAGCGGUGAAAUGCAUAGAUAUCACGCAGAACCCCGAUUGCGAAGGCAGCAUGCCGGCUUCCGACUGACGCUGAAGCACGAAAGCGUGGGGAUUGAACAGGAUUAGAUACCCGUGUAGUC
rnacentral:rRNA from 1 species